rnacentral:rRNA from 1 species
UCUUGCCAGUAUAAUAUGCUUGUUUCAAAGAUUAAGCCAUGCAAGUGUUAGAACCUCAUCGCAUCUGGUUUACUGGGUGUUGAUUUGGGAAUCUGUGGAUUGCUCAUUAUAAGAGUUAUAUACUCAGCCACUGGUAGUUGUGACGUAAGAAGCAUACAUGGAUAAUGCAGCUAACUGCCGCAAUAAUACAUGAAUUAAAAAGGGAAUCGCCGAUUCUAAGUGGUAAUAAGCGUCGAAUCGCUUUUAUCAAUUCAGAAAGUUGGCCCAGAGGAAGUGUUUCUUACCUAUCAGUUAGUAGUUUCAGUAAGGGUCAAACUUGACUUUUACGGGUACGGGGAAUUAGUGUUCAAAUCCGGAGAGGGAGCCUGAGAAAUAGCUACCACAUCUAAGGACGGCAGCAGGCACGAAUUAGUCUGGUGCCAGCACCCGCGGUAAUUCCAGCUCUAAUAGUGUAUUUUAAAGUUGUUGCAGUUAAAACGCUCGUAGUCUAUCUAAAAGUUUACGCACCUUUUCGUUGCAGGAGUGAUAGUUAUCGUCAUUAGAAAUUUAGGUGAUGGUAACCGGAUCUUUUGUAGCUUCGGUAUCGGAGACUUUAAGUCAGUUCAACUGGCUUGGGUCCGAGAUAUGGAUUGGUGACGUAAAUUUGAUUAUCAACUGUGAUCAAAUCAGAGAGAUUCAAUCAGGCAAUGAUGUUUGCAAAAACUUGCCCGAAUGGUUCAGCAUAGCACUGAAAUCAAGUCCCUUUUGGGACGAAACGAAUGGAAGAUAGGGAAAGGGAACAAGUAUUGUCUCGCUAGAGGUGAAAUUCAGAGAACGUGCCAAGACUAGCAGACGCGAAAGCGGUGUCCCGUCACAUCUUCGUCGAUCAGGAACGAAAGUUGGGGGAGCGAAAAUGAUUAGAUACCGUUGUAGUCCCAACUGUAAACUAUAUUGACAAGGGAUUGGCUUGAAACCUUUUUUCCAGAUCUCCUCAGAAUCUAAAGGAAACUGAAAGUUUUUGAAUUCUGGGGGGAGUAUGGUCGCAAGGCUGAAACUUAAAAGAAUUGA